rnacentral:tRNA from 1 species
GCCCAUGUAGUGUAGUAGUUUGAGUGUUGGACUAUGAGUCUGGAGACCAGGGUUCGAUUCCCAGCUUGGCCA